ensembl:lncRNA
UCCCUCCAGAUGACAUAAUUUUGAAUUUACUAUCAAUAAACAUAAUUAAGUGAUUAUUAGGUCAUAAACAAAUUUCCUAAGAAAGAUUUCAGAUGUGCCCCACAUUUCAGAUAUUUCCACAGAAACAAAUCUUUACUGGUCUUCAGAAAAAUAUGUGACCUCUGAGUGCUUGCACUGCAUUUACAGAGGUGACCAAGCAGCUGAGAUACAUCCAUUUAAUGUCAUUUCUAAAAGCCCUUUGCAUGGUUAGGUCCUCCUCCUGCUCCUGACUACCAUUUAAACCAGACAGUCCCAGUGCUUAAAUCAACAUUGUGAUCCUACUUGGAGGUUUCCCAAACUGGAUAGUCUGUUGCUCAGCAGUUUUUGUCUUUUUGUUGUUGGUUGUUUAUGAUGAAAUAUUCUGAAGAUUCUGCAAGAUCUAGUAUAGCUGGUCAGGCCAAAUGUCCUGUGUAACAUAGGACAACAGCAGAUGAAUGAAUUCUUCUGUAUCUUUCUUUCUCAACGUCAAAAUGAAAAAGUGCAUGAUUUGGACUACGGUAUCUGGGAAAGAAAUGAAUGUACAACUUUUUUGCAAUUUUGACAUCCAUGUUGCCUACUUCAAACUAGCACCUACUUUGAGAAACGCUGUGAAGAAAAGGACAAAAGGAAAGUCUGGAUGCUACCAAGGAAAUAUCUAUGAGGACUGCAUCCUCAGAAGAAUCUGCAAGGAGCCUUGGAUGUGUCCACAUCCUCAUCCUGACCCCUAGAAUCAAAAGGACCGUGCUGAUCCACUUGUUGCAAGCAAUUAUUUUAGCUGUGAAACUCUAUUGCUACCACGAGCAAGGUCUGUGAGAUGUUUUAACAUCGAUUUCCAUGUGCUACUGCUUUUCUAUAACAUGAGUGAAGUUGAACAGAAAUUAUAGGACUACAGAAUUUGAUGGGACGUAUGAAGUGAGAAUGAAUUUUCCUGCCUCCACUCAAAGCUUGACAGAUGCAGUUAGAUAAACCUAAUCUUAAAGGUUUUAUACCAAGUAAAAUGAAUGUUGUGUGAUAUGCGUGCCGAAACACUGUGUGUCUUGACAAAAUAUGAAGAAAAGACACUCUUUUCUAGCAGCAAAGAGGUCGCUAACUUGUGAGAGAGGAGGAGAAAUCCCUUGGUAUACAUAGAUUACAGGCAGUGGAAUUUUCUUUGAUCUAAACCAACGUCUGUAUCUGCAUUCCUCUAAAUUAAGUGAUACAGUUUGGUGCAUUUUCACUGAAAUGAUGCAAUACAAACAUGCCCAAGCUCCCUUCCCGGGCAGUACUGUGUUAGGGAAUGUUCCCAGCCUUUAUUUACAUAAUUAUCUUGAGCUAUCCAUAGCUUAGUAUCAAGUAUCAGGAAAAAUUUCUUUGAUGAAUGAAAGCAAGGAAUCUAUGUGCUGGAAAAUGAGUUUUUUCACUUUUGUUUCUAUGAAAGGUUUCCAACCUCACUGUCAUUUGUCACUGCAUCAUUGUACUCAAUGUAUGGACACGUAUCAAGGUUAUUUAAAAUGAUCUGUAUGUUUUGUGCUUGUGUAGGAUUGUUAGUGUAGCUUUUUCUCUGUUUAGAGCUGCAAUUUCAUAUUCCAUUACAUUUACUUUGCAGUGCAAUAAAGUAGAUUUUCCUG